GGGCCCGUGGUCUAGUGGUAUGACGCUGCCCUUACGAGGCAGAGGUCCCGGGUUCGAAUCCCGGCGGGCCCA
rnacentral:tRNA from 1 species